CGAAGAAUAAGAACAAUUUCCGUGUUACAAGCGGCGGAAAAUUUCCCGUGUUGACAUGGAGUUAUAUCAACACGGCUCUUAGCCAAUCAGCGUUCAGAAUUUACAAAUGCUAUAUUAUAAUAUAGUAUAUAACUAUUAAAGAUUGAUCCCCAUACAGUGGAAAAAGUGUAUGCGAACCGCUCACAGUCUGAUGAAUCCCCCCAUGCAUACGUGCAUUAAUUAUUAUCAUGACAUGAACUCAAUG